GAUAUUUUCCGGGAAAGGACCCGGCCUGCGCCAAAAUGAAAUCCACGAAAUCGGACAGACAGAGGUGCACGGUCACAAAGAGAAAGGAGGUAGACCGCCGUCCUCGUGGAUCGCGAUCCUCUAGCAUUCGCGAUUUCGCUUGAUAUAAUUCCGAGCUCCUCUGAGAACCGAGAACCUUAAACUGCGAUCGGGUUCUCAUUGGAUCUGUCAAAAGUCGCGGAAACGUCAAAUACGACUAAUCUGCAACGGUGGCGUGAAUCGAAUCGCCGGUUUCUAACCGGUGUUACUUUAUUUAAAGGGUUGGGCUUGCUCGUAGCUUCUGUCACCGCGCUGCUGGAUAUUGUCACGUUCCGAGAACUCUUUAGAUCCGUACGAAAAGAUUGGUCGCGGAGCUAGGAGAAACCGUUUGGUCGUUUUGGAAGUCUCGUUUCGUCGGAAAGCUGGUCAACGCCGUUGCUAGGCGUGCUGUUCGCUACUUUAGGGGGGCCCUCGGCAGAUAAUCAGGCAAGUCGGUCCUUCACCGACGCGUGUGACGCAUAGACACGGCACGAUACUUACCAAUCGCUGCCGGGUUACUUCUUAGACACGUAGUAACGCGUGCUCUGCUCGUGGCAUUUGGCCUUGAAACCAGAGAGAAAUCAUUCUGGCCGAUCGACCAGACAGACCGAUCUAUCCAGCCGACGAAAUACGGUUUCGACCUGCGAUUCUUCUCGAUCCCUGUAAACCGGUGUCGUACUUUCGUAGGCGUUUUCAUCGUUCAUUACGCAAUACAUUGUCCAUUGUAAUUUCGGCCCGUAGACAAUUUUUACUCGCUCCUGGCGAAAGCAGCUCGUAGUGGGGAAUAUCGACGCUGUAGAAGGGGAACCAUCAAAUCUCAUCGUUUCUCGCAUCUCGCUCUUCGAGAUUCUCGGUAGAAAUAUUUUACGCAGCGAGCGUUUCUCGAUCUAGCUAGCAAAUUAAACUAUGAAGCUAGCAAACGCUUGACAUUUGCGUGAACAAAAUCUACCUCGUGCGUAAGUUUCGUUCAAUUCCUCUCUUUCUCUCUUGAAGUCGCGUUUGAAGAAUACAUUACGUUCGAGUGAGAUGCUCGUGGGUCGUAUCAUUUUUUUCGACAGCACCGACAAGUUCAAGGCUCGUUUGAUUUAUGAAUCUGUACGUUGGUAAAGUAGACAAACUUGGAAGACAGAGAUUGGACAAAAUUUCACUCGAAUAAUGGAUGACCAGAAGCAACGUUUAACGAUUUAUCUGCUGUAUUCGUAAGGAUUUUGAAUAUGAGGCUUUUGCCAAUCUCUGCCCGGGAAAACAGUUUUGAGGUAGAUUAUGGCGAGGAGCGGCCAGAAAUCGCGUUUUACGCUCCCGAGGAUCGAGGAAGACUAACCAAUGAAGCAGAAUAAAGCGAGCAAAGAGAGACCAACGACAGCCGCCUGGCAUUCAUCCCAAGGAGCUUCUUUUCAUAAAUUCGUCGCCGCGUGGGCAUGUUAAUCGAGUAGGCAUGCCGUGUUAACUCUUUGGCCAGUACAAACGUGUAUUUACGUCAUGCCUUUACCGUGCUACGAACGCAAAUGUAUGCUUUUAAUUCUCAAUCAAUGUAACAGCCGCCAUUAAUUUGUUAACGUCGAUAGUUGGACGCGUUGCUACACGGUAGUUUUCUUUUUUAUGCGUCGGGGAUGUCAUUGUAAGUUCGAGAUUUUUCUAGCACUAGGAAAACCCACUGGUCGAAGGGUUAAAGAGUGGAAAUACGUGCAUGCAUGAUCCUCUGGGUGAAAACGAGCGCCGAGCGUGAAGAAUGACAGGGCGGAAGGGAGAGGAGGCGAUGCGACUCUCCCGGGAUGACGAGACAAGGAAGGGCGGUGGGCAAAUUUGAGGGUUGCGAGAGAGAAAGAGGGAUUGCUAGCGGAGGGUGAGCACGGUAAGGGGUGAGAGACAGAGGGAAGAUGGAAGGGGGAGAAGAGGGGGCCAUAGCAGAAGGAAAGUAUUGAUCUGUGCUCGCCUAUAUCCUACGUUUCUGUACACCUCCGUCACGGAUAUACCACGUUCGCCGUAAUUCCCGCCCCGGAACCACCAUGAACUUGAGUUUCAUCUCCACGUAAAUACCACCCUGAUCUUUCUCUUGAUUUUAGCAUAACGACAUCGAGAAGAGGAUAAAUAUUAAUCACCUGCGAGCUGAGUAUUACAUUCAUCGCGAUACCCCUGGAAUUAUAUUGGGCUGCCUGGAAAGUCCAUGGCGAUUUUUAGUAGGCGAUACAGGUCUGAAUAUAUCAGAAUGGCUGGAAACAAAUAAAAUGUGUACAUUCCUUAAGAGGUGAAAAGGUUGUGGAACAAAAUGGUACAUACAUAAUUCAAUAAAUAUACAUCAAAAUUCAAAUAUGCCUUUGAAUUUUUCUUAAAAAUAGGCAUGAACUUUCUGGACAACCCAAUAUGACUUGGCUUUGACGAGCUCGCACGCAGAGAUGGGCAAAAUUCCUGUCUAGAUAAAGAUUACGAGUAAAAUAUAAAUAAACUUUUCAAUUGUUACAGGUUGUGCGAUUAAUUAGAAUUUGAAUUACGGAAUUAUAUCUUGUCUCGUAUAUGGCAAGCAAUUAUAUGGCCUAAAUGUUUCCCAAAGGAUCUGGGAUCUAUUCGAAUAAAAUACUGUCCUUCUCUGGUCGCUUUUACUAUAGUAAUUCACCAUUUUAAAGCUGAGAGUUCUUUGCGUUCGAAUAUUUAAAUUUUGGUUUAGUCGACGAGCCAUUCCGAUAUAUUCAGACCUAUAUCGCCUACUAAAAAUCAGCAUGGACUUUCCAGACAGCCCAAUAUAUUCUCGAAGCGAAUUUGUUAUUCCAGGUCUUUGAAGAUACUCAUUUUGGUAGGGACUAAAGGAAUUUUAAAGGAAAGACGAAGACCGAGUAUUCCGGACGUAAAUGCUGAUACCAUGACCGUUUAAUCUGUCUCGUUACUUCACGCCUCCGUAAUAACUCUUUUUCACUCGGUUAUCGAACUUGACGUGGGACCCCGGAUUUCGACACCGUCCAUAAAUAAAACGCAACUAUUUUCAUCGAUUUUGUAAUAAUUUUCGUCUGGAUUUGUACACAACCGUGUUUCGAAUUAAUAGGACUCGUGGCAUUAAAGUAUUCUUGUUAUUCUUGAUAUAUGUUUACAAACACGUGGUCGAAAAAGUUUCACAACAGUAAUUGUAGCUUGUUAUGCUUACUACAGAAAGUAUCGUUGAUUUUCGAAAGUUUUACCUUCCAGUAACUUGUGUACAGUAUGGUUUAUUUUGAAACUUUACACGAAUCGAAUCGGAAGAAUUUUUGAACGCUGAAAUAUUUGUACAAACCAUUGAUCGAAUUUUUCGCAGUUCAUACGCGUAAUGCGACGCAGACCGAAGCACGUGUAUCUUGGUCGAUAUCAUUAUCAUCGAAUGCUGCACACCUGUAGAUAAUAAAUACAUAAUAGUAACCAACUUCCUCGCAAAGUUCAAGGGGCAGCGGGUUAAUACAUGCCUGUACGCUCGUUUUUCUCGCACAAAGGCUCUCCACUAUCUCAGAUGAAACUAAUAAUAUAUUCACACAGGGGUAGCUACGUAUUAAUAAUCGAUAGGUCAUUUCCAAUUUAUUACUUUACCAUGAUCUCGCAUAAUAUUCUUCGUCAAGUUUGAUACUUCCAUCCAAACGAGAUGUAUACGCUUUCUUUCUUUAUUUAAACGUUGUGUAGUCCUAAUGGACUGUUUACACAUUUCCUGAGACAUACAUCUCCUUAAUAUGAAGGUACAAACAUAGCUUUGUGAUAUAAAAAUAUAACUCUUUCAAAUGUAGUCUUACUUAUCUAACUUAUCUCUUAAUUAUUCUUAAUGCUUAAAUAACACAAUUGCAUAUUUGGUAUAUGUUGCAUUUACAUCUGAAUAUAUCUUAUAAUAUUAUAUUAAAUUAACCCGUCUUUGUUAUUGUUUUGUACUCCAAGAAAGAGAAGAAAGAGGGAAUGAGGAAAAAAAAGCUUAUGGCAAAACAAAAUGAUAUGACAUAAAACAAAUUAAACUUAGAUGUAUACGCGUAUAAAUAAUAAGUAUUUAAUGGAGUAAUGGCAAAAAUUGAUUAAUUCUGUUCUGUUGUUUAUCUAUAAUUUUGGAUGGUUUUAAAUUUAAUGGCACUGUUAUUGACAGUGUUAUUGACUAUGUUCGUCGGCGUAAU